rnacentral:rRNA from 1 species
CCUACGGGAGGCAGCAGUGAGGAAUAUUGGUCAAUGGCCGGAAGGCUGAACCAGCCAAGCCGCGUGAAGGACGAAGGUGCCAAGCAUUGUAAACUUCUUUUGUCAAGGAACAAAAUCAGGCUCGAGAGCCUGACCGCUUGUACUUGAAGAAACAGCAUCGGCUAAAUCCGUGCCAGCAGCCGCGGUAAUACGGAGGAUGCGAGCGUUAUCCGGAUUUAUUGGGUUUAAAGGGUGCGUAGGCGGGCUGUUAAGUCAGCGGUAAAAGGCCGGGGCUCAACCCCGGCGAGCCGUUGAAACUGGCUGUCUUGAGACGGCGAGAGGUAUGCGGAAUGCGCAGUGUAGCGGUGAAAUGCUUAGAUAUUGCGAAGAACCCCGAUUGCGAAGGCAGCAUGCCGGCGGGGAUCUGACGCUGAGGCACGAAAGCGUGGGUAUCGAACAGGAUUAGAUACCCGUGUAGUC